UUUUUUUUUGGGAUCUUCGUCAUACCCUAUCAUAAUUCAAAUACGGUGGUAGUAAUGUGUGUGUAAUUUAUAGAUGAAAGAAAUAAUAUU
rnacentral:sRNA from 1 species